UACCCGCUGAACUUAAGCAUAUCAAUAAGCGGAGGAAAAGAAACCAACAGGGAUUGCCUCAGUAACGGCGAGUGAAGCGGCAAAAGCUCAAAUUUGAAACCUUCGGGAUUGUAAUUUGAAGAUUUGGCAUUGGAGAAAGCUAACCCAAGUUGCUUGGAAUAGUACGUCAUAGAGGGUGACAACCCCGUCUGGCUAACCGUUCUCCAUGUAUUGCCUUAUCAAAGAGUCGAGUUGUUUGGGAAUGCAGCUCAAAGUGGGUGGUAAACUCCAUCUAAAGCUAAAUACUGGUGAGAGACCGAUAGCGAACAAGUACUGUGAAGGAAAGGUGAAAAGAACUUUGAAAAGAGAGUGAAAUAGUAUGUGAAAUUGUUGAUAGGGAAGGAAAUGAGUGGAGAGUGGUUGAGGUUUCAGCUUACCUUUGGGUAGGUGUAUUGCCAACGCCGAGUCAUUGACAGCGAGACGGCGGUUAUAAACGGGUUGCUCUUGAGCCUCUCACCUAACCGCCCCACUGCCGCCAACGACAUAAUCCACCCAUUUCACCCGUCUUGAAACACGGACCAAGGA
rnacentral:rRNA from 1 species